ensembl:snRNA U6 U6 spliceosomal RNA
GGAGAAAUCUAGUGCUCGCCAUAUACUAAACUGGAAUGAUACAGAGAAAAUUAACAUGGUCCCUGCACAAGAAUGACAUGCAAAUUCAUGAAGUGUUCUAUUUUUUU